AUAAGAGACUCUUAAAAACUGAGAAUAAACUGAGGGUUGAUGGGCGGUGGGAGGGAGGGGAAAGUGAGUGAUGGGCAUUGAGGAGGGUGCCUGUUGGGAUGAGCACUGGGUGUUGUAUGGAAACCAAUUUGACAAUAAAUUUCAUAUUAAAAAGAAAAAAUAAAAGAAAAUAUUGACUUAAAACAUUAAGAUGUAUUAAGUACAUUCCUUUUUCUUUUUCAGACUUUUUCUGCUGCUUAGACUUUUUCAUAAAGUACUGCUGAGCUCUUUCACAUAAAGAUGCUAUUGUGAACUGAAUGUAUUCCUUCAAAAUUCUUAUGUUGAAGCCUUUAUCCCCAGUGUGGCUAUAUUUGGAGAUGAGGCCGUUAUUGAAGUAAUGAAAGUCAAGUGAAUUCAUAAGGAUAGGACCUUGAUCUAAUGAGAUUAGUUUCUUUGUAAGAAAAAACACCAGACAGCUCUCUCCCCUCUCCCUUUUUCCUUGCAUGCCACCCUCCCCCUCCCCCCUUUUUCUUCUCUUUCCCCACAGCCUUCUCUCCCCACCAUGUGAGGACACUACAAGAGGGCUACAUCUGCAAGCCAGGAAGACAGCCUUCACCAGAAACCAAAUCCUGCCAGACCUUGAUCUUGGACUUUCCAGCCUCCAGAACUGUGAGAAAGUAAAUUUUCAUUGUUUAAGCCACCCAGCCUAUGGUAUUUUGUUACAGCAACUCAUGCAGACUUUGGUACCAAGAAAUGGGGUGCUGUUGUAACAAGUACCUAAAAGUGUGGCAGCGGUUUUAGAACUGGUGGAUGGGGGGAGGUUGGAGGAAUCUGAGGCACAGGCUAGAAACAUGGAAUGUUAGAGGCAAUUCUGGUGAUUGCUCUGAAAGAAAAGAAGAGAGCUGGAGAGAAAGGUUCUCUUAGAGAAUCUUCUUAGGGAACACAUCAAUAAUCACGAACAGAAUGUUGGUAGAAAUACGGACGGUAAAGGUAUCAUAUGGAAAUAAGAAACAGAGGAUGACACAUCUGUAUCUGCGCAGGUUACCCGUCAGCCAUUUGAAUGGCAAGAAGGACACCACCCGUCAUACCAAGGAGCACUCUUAUAAGCAGAGGGCUAUGUAACAGGCACUGAGUUCAUUCUUUAAUGAAAUACGAUCAAAAACCAAGGGACUCUUU